rnacentral:tmRNA from 1 species
CGCCUUCAAAAUGCCGGCCGAUGCGCCUAUAUAGGGCCUGUCGGGAAACCGACUAUGGCGAUAAACGCCGCGUGACAUAAGCGUUUCGGACCCGGGGGCAGUACCCGGCGCCUCCACCAUUAUUUCUCCACCCUUGGGUGGAACCGAUGGGGGCGAACCAGGAUCGACGGGCGUGGUAAAGACGCGGUUUUUGCUCGGUAUGGUUCCGCCGUGACGGGCCAUUCACAAGUGCUAACGAUAACACCGUUACACUCGCUGCUGCCGCCUAAACAGCGGACGUAAGCGCGGUCCGGGGGGCACCGGGCAACAGAAGCCCCCCACU